rnacentral:rRNA from 1 species
GACAAACGCUGGCGGCGUGCUUAACACAUGCAAGUCGAACGGAAAGGCCCUGCUUUUGUGGGGUGCUCGAGUGGCGAACGGGUGAGUAACACGUGAGUAACCUGCCCUUGACUUUGGGAUAACUUCAGGAAACUGGGGCUAAUACCGGAUAGGAGCUCCUGCUGCAUGGUGGGGGUUGGAAAGUUUCGGCGGUUGGGGAUGGACUCGCGGCUUAUCAGCUUGUUGGUGGGGUAGUGGCUUACCAAGGCUUUGACGGGUAGCCGGCCUGAGAGGGUGACCGGCCACAAUGGGACUGAGAUACGGCCCAGACUCCUACGGGAGGCAGCAGUGGGGAAUAUUGCACAAUGGGCGGAAGCCUGAUGCAGCAACGCCGCGUGCGGGAUGACGGCCUUCGGGUUGUAAACCGCUUUCGCCUGUGACGAAGCGUGAGUGACGGUAAUGGGUAAAGAAGCACCGGCUAACUACGUG